CUGGGGCAAAAUCACUGACUGAUAAACACAGAAGGGUGAGGAAUAAUGUUUGGGCUGGAAAAGAUGUUUCAUGGCAGACUGAAGGCCCAUAUGACCUGGGAACUCAAACUUUUUCAUAACAGGCUUCCUCUGCCAAGAGUCUUGGUUUCCAAAAGUGUCCGACACCUCAACCUCCAAAAAUCUUAAUGUGGGGAUACUUCUGCACAAUGCAAUAUAUAUAAAGUAAAAAAUACAGCUAUAUCAAAAUAUACUGAUUAAAUUCACUAGUAUCAAUAGAAUUUUGAAUUAAAAAGGAAUUUACAUUUAUGCCAUAAUAACAUUAAUCAAAAAGGGAGACGUAUGUAUGAUGCUUUAACAGAAGAGUUUGGAUGUUGCAGGCUAAUACCAUUUGUCUAAAUAGUUUAGAGUUCAGGUAUCAUCAAUUGCAAUGACGCGAGUUUUGACAUGACACUCCAAAAAGCCAUGCCUAAUGCUGCCACUUUAGCUUAUGUAAGUGGGGCACUCAAUUUUUAGAGUUUGUGUAGCUUCAUGCAGUAUCCAAGUUUUCUACCCCAAAAUUCUGAAAAACUGAAUUGCCUGGGUAACACACUAACGCUUCCACACCUUGGUGGUGGCUUAAGCAGGUAAAACUAAGAUAGGGUCUUUUUGCUGAUCAGAACUUAAUUAAGGAAAGAAAAAGGAAGAGGAUUAGAGAAGAAAGAAGAAAGAAGAAGAGAGGUAGAAAUGAUGAUGGAGGGAUUCUACCUGAAGAACAUUUUUCAGAUCUCCCUUCGGACUGAUUUGCUGCUGUAAUCUGCAAGAUGUACAGGCAUAUAGGGCUAAUAACAGACCCAAUUGUAAUCCAAGUUCUGCCCGUAUCUGUGUUGCAGAAACAUGAUUCAAUAUGUUUUUACUCUUUACUUUUAACUGGAAAUGUUGAUUAAGUAGCAGCAUAUGACAAUAAGGGAGAGAAGUUAAAGAGAGAGGAAUAACCAGAAGGGCUGGGCUGGCACCUUCCUUUCUUUAUUCUCACAUGCAAACGCAAGGAACUGUGUGGAAUUUCCUGGUUCACAUAUGUCCAUUGUGCCAUUGGGCAGCAACUCUUCCCUAAACUCGUGUCUUUGGGGGACUCAAACCACAAAUAGGGAAUAGUUCUAAAGAAAACCAUUAGUAAAAGGGACAUCCAGCACUAAAAAUAUUCCCAAAUGGAUAUGACAAAUUGAAAAUGAACCUAUACGGUACUGAAAAUCUUGUAUAGGGUUUUUGGGCCUGCCAAGUUUACUUCCUAAAAUACCAUGAGUUUUUGUUUAGCAUAUCUUAUCAAGAAAUCGGUUUCACAAGUUCUUGAUGCAAAUAUGAGAAAAUAGCCAUUAUGAUCUUCCCAAUUCCCAUCUUUUUUUAUCAUAAACCCCCAAACUACUGUGCUCUCUCUCUGGUCCUAAUCCCCAACACCCCCCCUCCCACCUCCUCCUCUAUUUCUAAUCUUGCACUUCCAUGUUUAUCUUUCCCACAACCCUCCUCUCUCUCCCCCGUCCCUCUCCCCACCUCUCACCCCCUUCCUCCACUACCCAUCUCUUAAUCAUCUCCCUUCUAAUAUGCUUAUCUCAUUGUCCCUAUUCUCUCUCCCUAUCCCCUCAUAAUUGAUUUCAAAAAGUUUGGCAUGUGUUCUGUCCAUCUUGCUUCUUAAACAACCAUCCUCUAUUGUUUAGGAAAUCUUAUAUGGAAAGAAUUGAAGAUUUAAUUACCUAGGCAAUAUUGCUAUUGUAUUUAAAUACAUAUAAGAAAGUAAUAGAAGAUAAAAGAUAAAAGUUCAAUUUUGUUUUUUAUUUUUGCCAUAACUUUUUGAAGUUAUAUAACAGAUUUUUGCUUAUUAACCUUUGUAGUUCAUUUUAAUUUUAUUUAUUUAUUUAUUUUUCUAUUUAACAUGCAUUUACACAUGCCUAUAUGGUAGACUAACCAAAAGAGGAUUAAACCACAGCACCUAGGCUGGGCUUUUCUCUGUUCAGCAUGUUUUGGCCAAAGGCUUCAAUCAUGCUGGUCCUCAGCUGAUUUCCAGUCACACAAGUGUAGGUGCAUGAACCAUGGAGAAGAAAGAAAGAGAAGAAAAUAGGAAAAGAAGCAAAGACCCGGGGGGGGGUGGUUGGGGAGGGGAGCUGAGACACCUGAUUUCUUCUUUAAAGAAAUAUCUUUCAUAGAAGAACUUAAACCCCCAGAUUAGGUGCCUUAACUUGGGGACAAUUUAUGUAGAUUCUUAUUUGGCCAAUGAUGAGCCAAUGAUUCAGAUGUCCUGUUGUUGAACCUCAUCAGUAUCUAAAAUUUAUACAAGUAUAACUCCAAAAAAUACAAAUAAUAGUGAAACUUUAAAUAAUCAGUUGGUUUUUAAUGGUGUUCGAGAAUUUUCUAUUGUUUUGUGAGAUAAUGAAUAAUCAAAUACAUGUAACCUACAACCAUUUCUGAUACUCUUCUUUUCUUCUAAUUCUUGUCUACAAUUCUGCUAACAAGCAUAUUUAUCCUCUUUAUAUAAUUCUUACUUAUAGUUUUAUAAAGCACAUUUUGAAAUCAUUUCUGUUGGUUCCCAUGCUAAUUAUGGCCUAUUAUUGUUUCAACCUUUUUGUAACUCGCAGGGGCAACAAAGACAUUGUAUGCUCCAGAACCUUUUGAUGUGGGACGAUUUUUGCAAGUGGAGAUUGUUUUAAAUGAUGAAAGGUUCAUGGCGACGACAACCAGUCUGAUAGAACCUGGUUUGUCCCUUUUAAUUUUUGAUAGGAUAUUGUCCACUAUAAUAUACUGCUUGUUAAGUAAUUGUCUUUUCAUCAUUAGUGUUGCCAUAGCUCUAUGAAAAUUUCUGAAGAUAUGUGUGGGAAGUUCUGGUUCUUUGAGCUUUUAGCUGUGUGAUUUCCUUUGCCAAAGCAAGUGUUUGGAAAUGAAUUUAGUGAUGAUAUUUCAUUUAAGCAUGUGGAUGCUCUACAUUUCAAGAUAAUACUAUGCAGAAAUUAUGCAUAGUAUUAUCAAAACAUGUGGAUGCUCUACAUUUCAAGAUAAUACAUGUCAAAGCAUGUGGAUGCUCAAUUGAUUUUUGAUACUCAUACACAAGCAUAUACAUAUAUGCAUCCAUAUGUACAUAUAAAUGGACCUAUUUAUUUCAUGGGAGUCUGAUAAAAUUAUCCUAACUUCAUUAUCCUAAACAGCUGCAGGAUUGGGAAGCUAUGUGGAGGCACUUGCAAGGAGGCCAGAAACUGAGUUUAAUGUAAGAUUUCAUGCUUCUUUUUGCCACCUUUUAUUAAGCUAUGCGUGUAUCUGUCCUGAUAGCAAAUGGGGCCUCUUUAACAAUUCUAAUUAGAGGAGCCAACUUUCUCGUGCACAUCAGUCCUGUCAAAUAUCAUUGGUUAGGUCUUUCUUAUUUCUUGUUUUUUUCCCUCUCUAAUUUUAUUGUAUUUUUUCAUUGUGUAUUUAUUUACUGAAUGGUCCUCAUGUUACUCUUCAAAAAGAGAAACGUGCAUCAACAGAUAUGUAUUUAAUGACUUAAUUAAUUGGAUAAUUUCUUUAUCUUAACUAGCCUUCACUUUACCAUAAAGAAGUUGAUAGUCAUAGUGAGGUUUUAAUGCCGCAGGGUCACCUUGCUGUAUCUUGUUUAACUUUCCCUCCCAAUAAUUCUGUCAAUUUCUUUCCAUGGUCAUACCUCCAUCAUGCAAGUAAUUUUUCCAACUUUUACCACUUAUAUCCAGGUUAUUUUUAAAUUUAUCUAUUCUUUUCAACCUAGAUUAAUACUCUAAUGUGUCUGAUACAAUUCCUGUCUCUUAAUGCCUAUGGAGACACAAUCUUUACCUAUUUCUUUGCUUCCUUUUGGUAGUCCUGGACAGAGUAUAUCAUAUCAUAUCAAACCAGGUGGUAUGGGACAUAUGAUACUAGUUCAAUACCGGUAUGCAGUUUUUUUGGGGGGGGGAGGGGCAUACCGAUACUUAUUAUACCGAAUCGGCCCCAUAUCGAUGCAAUAACAUGGUGGCAUCGGUACGGUGCUCGGUACUGAGACGGCAUACCCUGGUCCUGGGGCUAUUGGAUCCUGCCAUGUAUAAAAUGUGAGCUAUUUAGACCACAUGUACAAAUCAAUGUCCUUACCGCACAAAUCCUUAUGUAUUUAUGGCUUCUCUAUCACCUAAAGUCAAGUGUUGAUGAAAAAUAUGCGGGGCAAUAGUUUAUCUUGACAGCCAUCCAGGUUUUCUCUGCUAGUGUCCUUAUAGCUUUCAAGACUUAGAUGGAAUUAAUGAGAAGUACUUCCCUUUCGGAGAAUACGGCCAUGGAUGAGAAUGAGAACGAAUGGGCUGUAGGACUUACAUGUGGAAUCCAAGUAGUUGGGACCUCUUAAGAGCUACUUGAUUCAUUCUCAUCCUACAAUUGAAUUUCUUCAACAUUUUAUAACACAUAUUCUAAACAAUGUUAUCAGUAUUUCUGAAGUCAGUCAAGCAUUUAGAUCUUUCCUUGGAAUGGAUCAAGCAUUUAAGGAAGCCUAUUCUUCCACAUUGAAUUCUUUCAAAAAUCCAUGGACUAGUCUGAGGUCCUCUUGGCGUUUCUUCUUCUUCGUCAUCAUCAUAUGCUUAAAUCAAAGUAUGCAUGCUCUUAGGUUUGUUGUCAAGAGAGAUACUAUUGAAAGAAACAUUCCAAUAGUCAAGAUGUUGAUUGAGCAGCAUGUUUCCGAGAUCCAUUUUUAACCCACAAAUACUUUUCCGAUGAUCAAGUUCCUGAGCUAUCAAAAAUGAUGUCUUAUGAUGAUCAUUUUGAUAAUGUUGGUCUUAAUGUGCUCCGCAAUAAGAAUACUCCAGCAUUUCCAGUUGUCCACUAAUAUAGUUUCAGUUAUACUUUUUUUUCCUGCUAUUUUCUUACAACACCAUACAAACCAAAGUAGUUAGUAAAAUAGCUCAUCAUACGUGCAUACAUACAUACACGUAUGUAUGUACAUAUGUAUGUGUAUGGAUGUAUGUACAACCUCCUGUUUACAGGAUUUUGAAGCAGUGGGGUGCUACUUGUUUCAAAAAAUUCAGGUCUUAAUAUGUUAUAUUUGUCUGGCUGCUUUCUUCAUGGUAAGGGCUGCUUUAGAGAGGAUCAACAUGUUUUCUUUAUCAUGUGUUAACAAUAUAUGAUGCUUCUGUUCUGUUGGUUUCUGGGUUGGCUCAAUUUUUACGACUGCUUUGAUAGGAAAGGAAAGAUUGAUAUACAAAUGGACUUGUAACUGACACUUGUUAGAAUGCAUUUGGUGUUUUCGAACAGAUACUUAGAUGUUUGUUAUGUUGUUUUUCAGGUGGUUGUCACCCAAAUGAAUGGUCAUGACUCUCUCUCACGGUCUAUUCAUGUGUUUCAUGUGGGAAAGAUGAGGAUAAAACUUCGUAAGGGGUGGAGUACCAAAGCAAAAGAAUCGUAUUGUGCUUCAAUGCAGGUAGCAACCUGUCCUGAAGUAUGAAUCCUUUGCCUUAGGAAAUGAUGCACUUAACUUUAAAAUAUCCAAUAUUUUCUUUAAUCCAACUACAUAGGAAAUACAUGUCAUGUCUUGACUUUUAACUGGGCAACCAUGUUUAGAUUUCACCUUGCAGAGGGACUUUUUCUUUCAACUGGUAAUCCGGAUGGAACUUGUUAUAGGUGCACCUGGUACCAUUUCCACAAGUUAGUACAAGCAGUCUACUAUUGCUUUGAUGUACUUGGAUACGUGUUCCACCAUUGCUAUAUAAUUCAUAAUACAAAUUUCUACACAAUUGGUAGUGCAUUAUUUAGAGCCUAAAUGGAUACCUUAUCCAUGUGUCCAUAUGAUCAUUCACAAACAGUUCAAAGUGGCUUAGUGGUGGGAGGGAAGCAAUUAGAAAGGGCUGGGUUGGUUGUUAAUCCUGUAAAUCCUAAAUUUCUUGGAUACUGAAAUUGUUGUUCAAGUGAAUCCAGUAAAACUGAAAAUCUAGGCUUGCAACCAUUUCCCAUCUGUACUUUAGAUAUCAUACAAAAAGGGUCACGUGACAUCCCAUUGAUGAUAGAGAAAUUGGUGUCUUAUGAUGGUUUAAAGAUUUUCCUUUCUUGAGUUUCAUGUUCCCUUUGUCUAAUGCAAUUUACAUACCAACAUGUACAUGAUUUGGAUUUUAUGGACAUUACUGAAUUUUGUUGAUCAAAUUGUAACAUUAACAUUGAACUCAAAAGUCAGUGGGUAUACCGGUGACUUGGGCUUGAAUCCUGCUCUCAUGAUAUUGGCUUGGGCUUCUUUCCAUUCUGGUUCUUGGAAAAAAGAAUGUGGCAAUGAUGGAUGUGCAAGCUAGGCUUGGAAGAGCAUAUCUUUAGACCAUUGGCAAAGCUGACUUUGGGUUGACUUUGCCCUCUUAUUUUAAGUGACAAAUUAUUGAGCAUAUAUAAUUUUUAACUUUUUCUGUUCAAUCUCCAGCUUUGUGGGGUUAGAGGUGGUGGAAAUGCUGCAGCUCAGUCAAUCUUUUGGCAAGCUAAGAAAGGUCUCUCCUUUAUAUUAGCUUUUGAAUCAGAGAGAGAGAGGAAUGCAGCAAUCAUGCUUGCUCGAAGAUUUGCUUUUGACUGUAAUGUAAGCAUCCAUUCCUUACCAAUAGUUCAUCUGUUUUGCUUGCAUAGGGCAUAUUAAGUUCAUUUUGGAAACUCAUUGGAUCCGUCAGCCUAAUUUUAGCUCAUCUCAUAGUAUAUUAACUCUGAAACCUAUAUGCUCCCAUUUUCACAGUUUUUGCAUUUGCUGGCAAUGGCCAAAUUUUACACUAAAUUUCUUGUCUUUAUGUGAUGACUACCAGAUCAUUCUUGCUGGACCUUAUGAUCGGCCUCCCACCGAGACCUCACAAAACUGAUGACUUCUUUAUGAUUGCAAGUAUGAUGAGGUUGUGCAGAUGUGUAUUGCUAUGAUUGUUAUAGGUGAAAGCUGAUAGACUGAUUGUAACUGAGGCUUCCGUUGUUUUGAUUGUGCUCAGCACCGAGGCAUCCUUUUAUUUGCCUUAGCAUCAAAUUGUAACCAUUUAUUUAAAGCUAUUGUAUAAGCGGCCUCCAUUCUGAUGUGUCCAAUACCAAAGCAUCCUCUAUUUUCUCUCUUCAUUCAGGCCGCAUUCUGGACAGAGGACAAGCAUAUUCCUGUCUUACAUGUUACAGUAGUUUUCCUUUUCCCUCAUUAUAAAGAUGCCUCUCAUUUCGAAAGGCAAGUGAAGCACUACAAACCCUUCAUAUCUUUUCUUUUUUUCGUUCUCCAUAUAUAUAUCAAGCACGGGUAGACACAAUUAAUUACUGUGUUUAGGACUUGGGCUGUGGCUAAAAAAACUACAAAAUAUUGAACAAGCUGUUUCUUCUUUGUGCUUAAAAAUCAAACUUUACCUCAAUACAAUGAUACCAACAUUCCGAAACAUGUGCUUGAUUCCAUCUGAGAGCAUAGAUCCAAGGGUCGAAUUUGAGAGGGCAGGAAUGAAAUGAUAGUUUAGAUAGGUUUCUGUAGUGAUCUUGUUGCAGGCAACAGGGCAGACGUCUCUUUUUAUCAGACAAAAGUUCAGCGUUAGGCAGUGGUAAGAUGGAUCAUGGUUGGCAGACUCCAGUAACAGAGCACCAAAAGUAUUUGUCUUGGCAUAAAACUAUGAGUAGAUUUAAAGAGAAAGCCAUUGCAAAUAUAGGAAAGAUUGUUGAAUGGUGAAUGACUUUGACUGGAAGCUGCUGAGAUCGCUCAAAACUUUCAAGUUACUAGCGAGCCAGCAUGCCUGCAAUGCUUCCUCUUGUUCAAGUCUUAUUGUUACAUGCUAGAAGACCUUUUACAUCAUUCCUCUUACAAGUCCGCUACUGCCAAGAGUCUAUCCUUAUAAUUUACGUUCAUCUGCAUACUUUGAGACAUAUAUUUCUGUCGCUUUUUCACCCAGUUCAUGAGCUAAUAAUUGGGGUCUAAGCAAAUUUCUGUGUUGCGUCACUCCUUACUAGAGCGUUUGUUUUUUUCCAGGAAAAAGGAGUGGGAUACUUCAUCAAUUCAUUUCAUGUGAUGAUCAAAUGAAGAUUACAGGAUACUGUCAUUAAUUAAGAUAUAAUGAUUAUGCGACCAACAAGAAAUGAUGACUAAAAAACAUACCUUUUUACAUUUAACAUGCAUUAAAAACUUAGGCAUCAUGCCAAGUACC
rnacentral:lncRNA from 1 species